rnacentral:rRNA from 1 species
CCUACGGGUGGCAGCAGUGAGGAAUAUUGGUCAAUGGCCGGAAGUCUGAACCAGCCAAGCCGCGUGAAGGACGAAGGUGCCAAGCAUUGUAAACUUCUUUUGUCAAGGGACAAAAUCAGGCUCGAGAGCCUGACCGAGGGUACUUUAAGAACAAGCAUCGGCUAACUCCGUGCCAGCAGCCGCGGUAAUACGGAGGAUGCGAGCGUUAUCCGGUUUUAGUGGGUUAAGAGGGUGCGCAGGCGGGGGUGAAAGUCAGCGGUCAAAUUGCGGGGCUCAACCCCGUACUGCCGUUGAAACUGCAGCCCUUGAGUGCGCGAGAAGUAAGCGGAAUGCGUGGUGUAGCGGUGGAAUGCGUAGAUAUCACGCAGAACUCCGAUUGCGAAGGCAGCAUACCGGCGCGCAACUGACGCUCAUGCACGAAAGCGUGGGUAUCGAACAGGAUUAGAUACCCUAGUAGUC